UAUAUAUAUAUAUAUAUAUAUAUAUAUAUAUAUAUAUAUAUAUAUAUACAAAAAAGGAACGCUCGUAAAAAUUAACGAGCCAGUCAACUUGUAUACAUGUGUGUGUGUCUAUGUGUAUAUGUAUGUAUGUAUGUAUGUAUGUAUGUAUGCAUGUAUGUAUGUAUGUAUAUAUAUAUAUUUAUAUUUUUAUAUAUAUAUCUACGACAAUUACUCUUAAUUAAUCGACAAGUAAUAAUUAAACUAUCGAGCGUCGGCGUGACAACCGACCGAAAAAAAGAGAGAUCGAGGAGGAAAAAAUUUUUCGCAACUUCGCGAGAUCGAUCGAACGUUUCGUUCGUCGUUUUCAUCGUUUUCGUCCUCGAUGACGCGAGCCGAAACGAGCUCGAUAGAAAAGGCGUAUAUCACUGGAGCGAGGAUUUCAGGCACGAGAAGAGCUUCAUCGAGGAAUACCGAAGCAUCGCCCUUUCGUCGUUUCGAGCGAACAACUC